AAUCAAGUUUAUGACUUGGUAAUCCCCGAUAAAUACGUCUCUCGUCUUCUCUCAUUCUCUAUCCUCUCUCUUUCUCUCUCGCUACUCUCUCCUUUUCUCUCUCGGUUCUUGGCUGAAUUCGAGAAAUUAAUUGAAGAAAAUUCGAAGGGGUUUGAAGAAGUGAGGUAUAUGAAACAAAUUUGAGGUUGGAAUUGCAAAUCCCCAAUUCGAUUUAUUGGCAGAAUUAGGGCUGUGUGAAGGAGGCUCUAUCAAGGGGCUAUUAUGAUCAGAUCGCCUCCGGUGGUGGUCGCAUCAGAUGAUUGGCGGUGGUGGCCGGAAUCCGACGAAGAAGACAAGCUGUCUUAGAAUCGGAUUUCAGCUUUUGGUCCUUCGAAGAAUUAAUUGCUCGGAGGCCUUAGAGGUUGAAUAUUGACGAUCAGGACACACGGUUAGAAACCUUGAGAUGUUAGCCUUCCAUUGGUGUUGGAGCUCGGUAGUAUUUAAUCGGCGGUGGUUGCCGGAAUUGGGCAAGAAGUUCAGCCCCCUCGCCGGAACCUUGAAGGAAAUAGUAUUUGCUGCCGCACCUGUUUUCGGAGCAGAAUUUGGAGGGUUUGGAGUGAGAAUUUGGGAAUCAUUCCUUCACAAAACUCGUAGAGGACCUCGAAAACUAUUGGUGUCGAGCGUACUAAAGCUCUCAUUCAAGACUUGAGCAUGACUCAAGAGUAAGGUGUUCUUAUAGCACUUGCAUUGGACUUCAGUAUCAGGUGCAUUAGUACACGAUUAUGUUGAUGGCUCUUAGGAGUAGAAGUUAUUCAGAGAUUUGAGAGAGUUCAAUCCAGUGUUGUAUUUAAGAAUGAUUGUAAUUCGAGAACUAUGAAUACAAGAUUAGUUGUGGUAUUUGGUUGUCACGUGUAUUUGAUUUUAUUGUUAAGAAAUUAAGUAAGAGACAUUAUAUUUAUU